GGCACCCAAGCCUAGGCUAUACUUUUGUAAAAUAAAUUACCACUAAAAUAAUGCUUUAAUUCCUCCACUUACCUGUAUAACUUUGUUAUUACCGGUAAUUAUAAGCAAUUUAUUGCAUCCACAUUCAAUAUAAACAUACCGUAGGCGAUUGUUCACCAAUAGAUGGCAGCGCACGUUUUGUAAGCGUACAUAGCGUUUUGAGCCUACAUUGAGUGCAUUGGAGGCAGGGAUAUCAACGAAAAUAU